UACGUAGGGUGCAAGCGUUAAUCGGAAUUACUGGGCGUAAAGCGUGCGCAGGCGGUUCGCUAAGACAGAUGUGAAAUCCCCCGGGCUUAACCUGGGAACUGCAUUUGUGACUGGCGGGCUAGAGUAUGGCAGAGGGGGGUAGGAAUUCCACGUGUAGCAGUGAAAUGCGUAGAGAUGUGGAGGAAUACCGAUGGCGAAGGCAGCCCCCUGGGCCAAUACUGACGCUCAUGCACGAAAGCGUGGGGAGCAAACAGG
rnacentral:rRNA from 1 species